rnacentral:rRNA from 1 species
AGUGAACGCUGGCGGUAGGCCUAACACAUGCAAGUCGAACGGCAGCACAGUAAGAGCUUGCUCUUACGGGUGGCGAGUGGCGGACGGGUGAGGAAUACAUCGGAAUCUACUUUUUCGUGGGGGAUAACGUAGGGAAACUUACGCUAAUACCGCAUACGACCUACGGGUGAAAGCAGGGGAUCUUCGGACCUUGCGCGAUUGAAUGAGCCGAUGUCGGAUUAGCUAGUUGGCGGGGUAAAGGCCCACCAAGGCGACGAUCCGUAGCUGGUCUGAGAGGAUGAUCAGCGACACUGGAACUGAGACACGGUCCAGACUCCUACGGGAGGCAGCAGUGGGGAAUAUUGGACAAUGGGCGCAAGCCUGAUCCAGCCAUACCGCGUGGGUGAAGAAGGCCUUCGGGUUGUAAAGCCCUUUUGUUGGGAAAGAAAAGCAGCAGGUUAAUACCCAGCUGUUCUGACGGUACCCAAAGAAUAAGCACCGGCUAACUUCGUG